GAGAUAUUAGUAAAACAUUACAUGACCUUGUCGAGGUCAAGUUAUGGGUAAAAACCCCAUAUAUCUCU